GAUGAACGCUAGCGGCAGGCUUAAUACAUGCAAGUCGAACGGCAGCACGAAUAGCAAUAUUUGGUGGCGAGUGGCGCACGGGUGCGUAACACGUAUGCAACUUACCUAUUACAGGGAGAUAGCUCCGAGAAAUCGGGAUUAAUAUUCCAUAGUAUUAUGAUUUGGCAUCAGAUUAUAAUUAAAGCUCCGGCGGUAAUAGAUAGGCAUGCGCGACAUUAGCUAGUUGGUGAGGUAAAGGCUCACCAAGGCG
rnacentral:rRNA from 1 species